GCGUUCUCUUACGGGAAGUAGCUCAGUUUGGUAGAGCACUUGGUUUGGGACCAAGGGGUCGCAGGUUCGAAUCCUGUCUUCCCGAUAGGAACUUUAAUUAUAUAAAAAAUAUGGGGGCUUAGCUCAGCUGGGAGAGCGCCUGCUUUGCACGCAGGAGGUCAGCGGUUCGAUCCCGCUAGUCUCCACCAUAUUAAAUUUACAAACUAGAUAACGGCGGUGUAGCUCAGCUGGCUAGAGCGUACGGUUCAUACCCGUGAGGUCGGGGGUUCGAUCCCCUCCACCGCCACUACUUAUUAGUUGUAGAAUUAUAAUUUGGACCUUUAGCUCAGUUGGUUAGAGCUAACGGCUCAUAACCGUUCGGUCGCAGGUUCGAGUCCUGCAAGGUCCAUAUAAUUUUGGAGGAAUACCCAAGUCCGGCUGAAGGGAUCGGUCUUGAAAACCGACAGGGGCUUAACGGCUCGCGGGGGUUCGAAUCCCUCUUCCUCCGUAUUUUAUUGGUCUCGUAGUGUAGCGGUUAACACGCCUGCCUGUCACGCAGGAGAUCGCGGGUUCGAUUCCCGUCGAGACCGCCAUUUAAUAAUUUUAUAGUAAUUUACAUUUAAUUAGUGGAGGAAUACCCAAGUCCGGCUGAAGGGAUCGGUCUUGAAAACCGACAGGGCCUUAACGGGCCGCGGGGGUUCGAAUCCCUCUUCCUCCGCCAUUAAUUAUUAUCGCGGGAUGGAGCAGUUCGGUAGCUCGUCGGGCUCAUAACCCGAAGGUCGGUGGUUCAAAUCCGCCUCCCGCAAUUUAUCUUUUAGGUCUCGUAGUGUAGCGGUUAACACGCCUGCCUGUCACGCAGGAGAUCGCGGGUUCGAUUCCCGUCGAGACCGCCAUUACAAAUAAUGGUUCAGUAGCUCAGUUGGUAGAGCAAUGGAUUGAAGCUCCAUGUGUCGGCAGUUCGACUCUGUCCUGAACCAUUUUGUUAUGCCGGCCUAGCUCAAUUGGUAGAGCAACUGACUUGUAAUCAGUAGGUUGGGGGUUCAAGUCCUCUGGCCGGCACCAUCUCAUGGAGGGGUAGCGAAGUGGCUAAACGCGGCGGACUGUAAAUCCGCUCCUUCGGGUUCGGCAGUUCGAAUCUGCCCCCCUCCACCAUCUUAAUUUAGGGACAUAGUUCAACGGUAGAAUAGAGGUCUCCAAAACCUUUGAUGUGGGUUCGAUUCCUACUGUCCCUGCCAUGGCGGUUGUGGCGAAGUGGUUAACGCAUCGGAUUGUGGUUCCGACACUCGAGGGUUCGAUUCCCUUCAACCGCCCUUAAUUUUAUUAAUGGGCUAUAGCCAAGCGGUAAGGCAACGGACUUUGACUCCGUCACGCGCUGGUUCGAAUCCAGCUAGCCCAGUUAUUGGCGGCAUAGCCAAGUGGUAAGGCAGAGGUCUGCAAAACCUUUAUCACCGGUUCAAAUCCGGUUGCCGCCUCCAUGCACGAUGCGGGAGUANAUGAGAAUUCUAAGGUGAGCGAGCGAACUCUCGUUAAGGAACUCGGCAAAAUGACCCCGUAACUUCGGGAGAAGGGGUGCUCUUUAGGGUGCAAGCCCAGAAGAGCCGCAGUGAAUAGGCCCAAGCGACUGUUUAUCAAAAACACAGGUCUCUGCUAAACCGUAAGGUGAUGUAUAGGGGCUGACGCCUGCCCGGUGCUGGAAGGUUAAGAGGAGUGGUUAGCUUCUGCGAAGCUACGAAUCGAAGCCCCAGUAAACGGCGGCCGUAACUAUAACGGUCCUAAGGUAGCGAAAUUCCUUGUCGGGUAAGUUCCGACCCGCACGAAAGGCGUAACGAUUUGGGCACUGUCUCAACGAGAGACUCGGUGAAAUCAUAGUACCUGUGAAGAUGCAGGUUACCCGCGACAGGACGGAAAGACCCCGUGGAGCUUUACUGUAGCCUGAUAUUGAAAUUCGGCACAGCUUGUACAGGAUAGGUAGGAGCCUUUGAAACGUGAGCGCUAGCUUACGUGGAGGCGCUGGUGGGAUACUACCCUAGCUGUGUUGGCUUUCUAACCCGCACCACUUAUCGUGGUGGGAGACAGUGUCAGGCGGGCAGUUUGACUGGGGCGGUCGCCUCCUAAAAGGUAACGGAGGCGCUCAAAGGUUCCCUCAGAAUGGUUGGAAAUCAUUCAUAGAGUGUAAAGGCAUAAGGGAGCUUGACUGCGAGACCUACAAGUCGAGCAGGGUCGAAAGACGGACUUAGUGAUCCGGUGGUUCCGCAUGGAAGGGCCAUCGCUCAACGGAUAAAAGCUACCCCGGGGAUAACAGGCUUAUCUCCCCCAAGAGUUCACAUCGACGGGGAGGUUUGGCACCUCGAUGUCGGCUCAUCGCAUCCUGGGGCUGUAGUCGGUCCCAAGGGUUGGGCUGUUCGCCCAUUAAAGCGGUACGCGAGCUGGGUUCAGAACGUCGUGAGACAGUUCGGUCCCUAUCCGUCGUGGGCGUAGGAAAUUUGAGAGGAGCUGUCCUUAGUACGAGAGGACCGGGAUGGACAUACCUCUGGUGUACCAGUUGUCGUGCCAACGGCAUAGCUGGGUAGCUAUGUAUGGACGGGAUAAGUGCUGAAAGCAUCUAAGCAUGAAGCCCCCCUCAAGAUGAGAUUUCCCAACUUCGGUUAUAAGAUCCCUCAAAGAUGAUGAGGUUAAUAGGUUCGAGGUGGAAGCGUGGUGACACGUGGAGCUGACGAAUACUAAUCGAUCGAAGACUUAAUC
rnacentral:rRNA from 1 species